AACGUACGCUGGCGGCACGCCUAACACAUGCAAGUCGAACGCAGUAGCAAUACUGAGUGGCAAACGGGUGAGUAUAAUGUGGGAAUCUGCCUUUUGGUUCGGAAUAACACGAGGAAACUUGUGCUAAUACCGGAUAAGCCCUUACGGGGAAAGUUUUAAUGCCAAAAGAUGAGCCCGCACUUGAUUAGCUAGUUGGUAAGGUAAUGGCUUACCAAGGCAACGAUCAAUAGCUGUUCUUAGAGGAAGACCAGCCACAUUGGGACUGAGACACGGCCCAAACUCCUACGGGAGGCAGCAGUGGGGAAUCUUGCACAAUGGGGGAAACCCUGAUGCAGCGAUGCCGCGUGAGUGAAGAAGGCCCUUGGGUUGUAAAACUCUUUCGUCGGGGAAGAAAAUGACUGUACCCGAAUAAGAAGGUCCGGCUAACUUCGU
rnacentral:rRNA from 1 species